rnacentral:rRNA from 1 species
CCUACGGGUGGCUGCAGUGGGGAAUAUUGGUCAAUGGGCGCAAGCCUGACCCAGCAACGCCGCGUGAAGGAUGAAGGCUUUCGGGUUGUAAACUUCUUUUCUCAGGGACGAAGAAAGUGACGGUACCUGAGGAAUAAGCCACUGCUAACUACGUACCAGCAGCCGCGGUACUACGUAGGUGGCAAGUGUUAUCAGGAUUUACUGGGUGUAAAGGGUGUGUAGGCGGGAUAGCAAGUCAGAUGUGAAAACUAGGGGCUCAACCUGUGGACUGCAUUUGAAACUGUUUUUCUUGAGUACAGGAGAGGCAGACGGAAUUCCUGGUGUAGCGGUGAAAUGCGUAGAUAUUAGGAGGAACACCAGUGGCGAAGGCGAUCUGCUGGACAGCAACUGACGCUGAGGCGCGAAAGCGUGGGGAGCAAACAGGAUUAGAUACCCGUGUAGUC